UACCUGGUUGAUCCUGCCAGUAGUCAUAUGCUUGUCUCAAAGAUUAAGCCAUGCAAGUCUAAGUACGAGCUCUCGUACAGUGAAACUGCGAAUGGCUCAUUAAAUCAGUUAUGGUUCAUUUGAUCGUACAGUUUACUUGGAUAACUGUGGUAAUUCUAGAGCUAAUACAUGCGAGAAGCGCCGACCUCGCGGGAGGCGUGCAUUUAUCAGACCAAAAACCGGCCGCGUCUUCGGGCGCGUUCGCCUUGGUGACUCUGGAUAACUUUGCGGAUCGCACGGUCUAGCACCGGCGACGGAUCAUUCAAGUGUCUGCCCUAUCAACUUUCGUCGGUACGGUAUUUGCCUACCGAGGUUCUUACGGGUGACGGGGAAUCAGGGUUCGAUUCCGGAGAGGGAGCCUGAGAAACGGCUACCACAUCCAAGGAAUGCAGCAGGCGCGCAAAUUACCCAUUCCCGACG
rnacentral:ncRNA from 1 species